rnacentral:rRNA from 1 species
GAUAAACGCUGGCGGCGUGCCUAAUGCAUGCAAGUCGCACGGGGUGUCCCUUCGGGGCAUCGAGUGGCGAACGGGUGAGGAACACGUGGCCGACCUACCCGGCGCGGGGGAUACCCGCCAGAAAGUGGCGGCUAAUACCGCGUACGGUCGCAUCCCGGUGGGGGUGCGAAGAAAGCAGCGAUGACGCGCUGGGAGGGGGCUGCGGCCGAUUAGCUAG